AGGCCUGGCUCUGUGUGGAAGACUAGUGAUUUUGUUGUUCUGCUCUGUAAAGGUGACAACAAAUCAUAGCCUGCCACCCAGCACAGGCCC
rnacentral:pre_miRNA from 1 species